rnacentral:rRNA from 1 species
CCUACGGGUGGCAGCAGUGGGGAAUAUUGGGCAAUGGGCGCAAGCCUGACCCAGCAACGCCGCGUGAAGGAAGAAGGCUUUCGGGUUGUAAACUUCUUUUGUCAGGGACGAAGCAAGUGACGGUACCUGACGAAUAAGCCACGGCUAACUACGUGCCAGCAGCCGCGGUAAUACGUAGGUGGCAAGCGUUAUCAGGAUUUACUGGGUUUAAAGGGUGCGCAGGCGGAAGAUCAAGUCCGCGGUAAAAUUGAGAGGCUCAACCUCUUCGAGCCGUUGAAACUGGUUUUCUUGAGUGAGUGAGAAGUAUGCGGAAUGCGUGGUGUAGCGGUGAAAUGCAUAGAUAUCACGCAGAACUCCGAUUGCGAAGGCAGCAUACCGGCGCUCAACUGACGCUCAUGCACGAAAGUGUGGGUAUCGAACAGGAUUAGAUACCCGUGUAGUC